UGAAGAAAAAGCAUCGGCUAACUCCAUGCCAGCAGCCGCGGUAAUACGGAGGAUGCAAGCGUUAUCCGGAAUCAUUGGGCGUAAAGGGUCCGCAGGUGGCGAAUAAAGUCUGCUGUUAAAGACCGGGGCUAAACUCCGGAAAGGCAGUGGAAACUGAUUAGCUAGAGUACGGUAGGGGUAGAGGGAAUUCCCAGUGUAGCGGUGAAAUGCGUAGAUAUUGGGAAGAACACCGGUGGCGAAAGCGCUCUACUAGGCCGAAACUGACACUGUGGGACGAAAGCUAGGGUAGCGAAAGGGAUUAGAUACCCCUGUAGUCUUAGCGGUAAACGAUGGAUACUAGGUGUAGCUUGUAUCGACCCGAGCUGUGCCGAAGCUAACGCGAUAAGUAUCCCGCCUGGGGAGUACGCACGCAAGUGUGAAACUCAAAGGAAUUGACGGGGGCCCGCACAAGCGGUGGAGUAUGUGGUUUAAUUCGAUGCAAUGCGAAGAACCUUACCAGGGCUUGACAUGUCGCGAAUCUAGCGGAAACGUUAGAGUGCCUUAGGGAAUGCGAACACAGGUGGUGCAUGGCUGUCGUCAGCUCGUGUCGUGAGAUGUUGGGUUAAGUCCCGCAACGAGCGCAACCCUCGUCCUUAGUUGCCAAUAUUAAGUUAGGCACUCUAGGGAGACUGCCGGGGACAACUCGGAGGAAGGUGGGGAUGACGUCAAGUCAGCAUGCCCCUUACGUCCUGGGCGACACACGUACUACAAUGGUUGGGACAAAGGGCAGCAAACUCGCGAGAGUAAGCGAAUCUCAUCAAACCCAGCCACAGUUCAGAUUGCAGGCUGCAACUCGCCUGCAUGAAGUAGGAAUCGCUAGUAAUCGCAGGUCAGCAUACUGCGGUGAAUUCGUUCCCGGGCCUUGUACACACCGCCAGUCACACCAUGGAAGCUGGCUACGCCCGAAGUCGUUACCCUAACCCGGUUUUGGGAGGGGGAUGCCGAAGGUAGAGCUAGUGACUGGGGUGAAGUCGCAACAAGGUAGCCGUACCGGAAGGUGUGGCUGGAUCACCUCCUUU
rnacentral:rRNA from 1 species